rnacentral:lncRNA from 1 species
GUCGGUUGUAGCACAAUCUCAUCAAAUGGUAAAAAAGACCACACAAUAGGUUCAAGGACACAGUUAUCGUCCUUUGGUUUUCGUUAGUUAGUCCCUACUGUGAACAGUGUAUAACUUGCAUUUGUAUUUGAUACACUUUCACAAUUUAUUUCUUGAUAUCUAAUGCAUGAAAUAUUAAGUAGGGGGCUGUUAUUACAUGUUAUAAAAAUUUGGGUGCUGAAUCUUUAUGUUAAGUAGUGAUUUGGUCAGUUUAAAAAAGGUCAAUUUUUAUUACAUCGGAAGCUGUCAGUUAGAGCUGGUAGAAGUUUCUAUUAAUUUGAUAUUAUUUGUCUCACUAGUAGUACACUACACUGUAAAAAUCUUUUUGAGAAAGAGUAGGUGCGAUUUUUUAAAUUUGAAUUUAUUGUCUAAAAGAAAUGCUCUACGAAAUAACUGUGUUCUCGGGCCAAUAGGGACCAAAUAAACAUCUUCUACUUGUAUACCGUAAAUCAGCAUUUGGAUGUGCCUGUAAUUCAGUUGUUGCAUGUCGUUUGUUGCUAUAUAUAUUAUUGUUUUACGUUCUUAGUUUUGUUCAUGAAUAUAUAUAAGGCCUUUAGAUUUCUAGUUUGAAUUGUUUUACUGCCUUGAUUUGUCAUAUCUAUAGGUCUUUUAUAGCUUAUGCUUCGAUGUGAGUUUUGCUCGUUGUUGAAGGCCA